AUGCUCACUUUGUCAGCACAAAUACCAAAGUUGAAGCGAUACAGAGAAAGUUAGCAUGGACCCUGCACAAGGAUGAAGCAUUCUGAAACAUUCUGAAGCAUUCCAUACUUUU